UGGGGAAUUUUGGACAAUGGGCGAAAGCCUGAUCCAGCAAUGCCGCGUGUGUGAAGAAGGCCUUCGGGUUGUAAAGCACUUUUGUCCGGAAAGAAAUCCUUGGCUCUAAUACAGUCGGGGGAUGACGGUACCGGAAGAAUAAGCACCGGCUAACUACGUGCCAGCAGCCGCGGUAAUACGUAGGGUGCAAGCGUUAAUCGGAAUUACUGGGCGUAAAGCGUGCGCAGGCGGUUUGCUAAGACCGAUGUGAAAUCCCCGGGCUCAACCUGGGAACUGCAUUGGUGACUGGCAGGCUAGAGUAUGGCAGAGGGGGGUAGAAUUCCACGUGUAGCAGUGAAAUGCGUAGAGAUGUGGAGGAAUACCGAUGGCGAAGGCAGCCCCUGGGCCAAUACUGACGCUCAUGCACGAAAGCGUGGGGAGCAAACAGGAUUAGAUACCCUGGUAGUCCACGCCCUAAACGAUGUCAACUAGUUGUUGGGGAUUCAUUUCCUUAGUAACGUAGCUAACGCGUGAAGUUGACCGCCUGGGGAGUACGGUCGCAAGAUUAAAACUUCAAAUGAAUUGAC
rnacentral:rRNA from 1 species